rnacentral:rRNA from 1 species
UACGGAGGGGACUAGCGUUGUUCGGAAUUACUGGGCGUAAAGCGCACGUAGGCGGAUUUGUAAGUCAGGGGUGAAAUCCCGGGGCUCAACCUCGGAACUGCCUUUGAUACUGCAAUCUCGAGUCCGGAAGAGGUGAGUGGAAUUCCUAGUGUAGAGGUGAAAUUCGUAGAUAUUAGGAAGAACACCAGUGGCGAAGGCGGCUCACUGGUCCGGUACUGACGCUGAGGUGCGAAAGCGUGGGGAGCAAACAGG